rnacentral:ncRNA from 1 species
AAAGACUUAGUCCUAACCUUAUGGUUAAUUUUAGCUAGAUAUACACAUGCAAGUAUCCGCACCCCAGUGUGAAUGCCCCAAUUUCUUCCUUAAUCCAAGACAAAGGUGCAGACAUCAGGCACGCUCCAGCAGCCCAAGACGUCUUGCUUAGCCACACCCCCACGGGUACUCAGCAGUGAUUGACAUUAAGCAAUAAGUGAAAGCUUGACUUAGUUAUAGCUUAAUAGAGCCGGUAAAUCUUGUGCCAGCCACCGCGGUCAUACAAGAGGCUCAAAUUAACCAUUAUGCGGCGUAAAGAGUGGUAUAAUAUUAUCUAAAUAACUAGGAUCAAAUUGUAACUGAGCUGUCAUAAGCUAAAGAUGCAUUUAAGACCACCCCUCAAAAUGAUCUUAGAGCACCAUGAUCUAUCAUUUACCACGAAAGCUAGGGCCCAAACUGGGAUUAGAUACCCCACUAUGCCUAGCCUUAAAUCCUGAUGCGCUAUACUCACCAAGCCAUUCGCCUGGGAACUACGAGCACAAACGCUUAAAACCCUAAGGACUUGGCGGUGCCCCAAACCCACCUAGAGGAGCCUGUUCUAUAAUCGAUAAUCCACGAUAUACCCGACCUCCCCUUGCCACACCAGCCUACAUACCGCCGUCUCCAGCUCGCCCUUCGCUGAAGGCCCAACAGCGAGCGCAAUAGCCCCCCGCUAAAAAGACAGGUCAAGGUAUAGCUAAUGGGGCGGAAGAAAUGGGCUACAUUUUCUAAAAUAGAAUAUCCCUUAACGGAAAGAGGUGUGAAAUUCACCCCUAGAAGGCGGAUUUAGCAGUAAAAGGAGACAAUAGAGCUCUAUUUAAGCCGGCCCUGGGGCACGUACAUACCGCCCGUCACCCUCCUCACAGGCUACAAAUAAAUUAUAACUAAUGAGUCCAAAAGCCAAAGAUGAGGU